rnacentral:lncRNA from 1 species
AUAAAAAUGGCUAGAGGAAGUCUGUUUCUUCUUUCUCUGCUCCUGUGGGAUGGGUCCCAGUCAUUCUUUAGCUAGAACUUGUGUUCUUUAACUGAUUUCCAACAGUUGUGUUCAGCCAAAGCAGAGCUAGCUCAAAAUCCCUAAGGCCAAGAAGUGGCCAUAUGCUCUAUUACAAACAUGUAGCACACAUCUGGGAGUUUCAAAAAUAAAUAGCAUCCUUAUUUAGUUAUAUUUCAUUUGCAAUUACUUAGCCCUUUCUGCUUCUUCACAUUAUGAUUGAAAUAAUUUCAUUUGCCCACAAUAUGAAAUUGCUUUUGAGUGCUGAAAUUGAAGUUUAUUCAGAAAAGUGAAUUAAGGUAGCACUCUGGCAGUGAGCAAAUGCUUUAAACAUGCUAAUGGGCAAAUUCUAUUCCAAGCUGCACUGAUGAAAUCCUGCUGAUUGAAAUGGUUCUGUUUCAGGACCAGAGACUUGAUUUUGACCUGACAUGCUUAAGAGGUUUUCACAACAGGACUUCUCUCAAAAAAUAUUGUUUCAUCCAAAUACAGACUGUUUUAUGGAAGCAGCUCUUAGCUUAACUACUCUCGAAGCAAUGACUUUGAGUGGACUAUAUAAGAGCAGAGAAAUAGAUGGCUCUGGAGAACAGCAGAGAGGGAAAUUACCCAAGUAAUGUAAGUGCAUUUUUCUUAUCAUUAGCUUAAAUAAUUCAUUCACCUUCACCAGAAAUCCAUGAGAUAAAAAAGAUUCCCAAACUUCAGAUUUUAAUAAUGUGAUAAUUUUUAUUUUCCCCACCUUGGCCUGAUUAGACAUGAUGUGUGUACAAAUGGCUCAUUGGAUCACUUAUUCCCUGGGAACUCUUGUCCCCAAGCAUUUGGCCUCAUUCUAUGCAUGCAUGAAUAAAAUGAGAUCUGGAUUUAAACA